AAAGGGGAUUGGCUGUCGUCAGCUCCCGGCAGGAGAGUGAUGGGCGUCUCUUCCCAUCAAUGAGGGAAGCGAAAGAAGGGCCUUAGGAAGAAGUACCGUUCCCCCGGCGAGCGAGCUCUUUCGGGCGAGGUGGUCUCUCGGCUACGGCGGCAGGAGGCGGGCGUAGUGCUGCAAAGCCCAAUGGAAGAUGAGUAGUGGCGUGACGGGCAGCCGUCGUCGUCGAAGGGGUGACGUUGGUCCUUGCUGGUGGGGCGCGGGCUCUGCCUCUUCUCCUGCGGCGCCGGGCGUGCGGAGGGGCCUUCCUGGGGCAGCCGCGGCUGCGAGGGCCGGCCGGUGGGACCGUCUUUUCUUCUGUUACCAACCACCUACUAAAACUGUUUAAAUGAGAAUGUCCUUGGCGCAGAGAGUACUCCUCACAUGGCUCUUCACAUUACUGUUCUUGAUCAUGUUGGUGUUAAAGCUGGAUGAAAAAGCCCCCUGGAACUGGUUUCUAAUAUUUAUCCCCAUUUGGAUUUUUGAUACCAUUCUGCUAGUUAUGAUUAUUGUGAAAAUGGCUGGCCGUUGCAAGUCUGGCUAUGACCCUCGCAAUGGCUCCCAGAACCUCAAAAAGAAAGCCUGGUAUCUUGCUGCAAUGUUGCUUAAACUGGCCUUCUGCCUGGCUCUGUGUGCGAAAUUGGAGCAGUUCACUGUCAUGAAACUCACCUAUGUUUUCAUUCCCCUGUGGGCCCUGCUUAUCGGAGGGAUGAUAGAACUUGGAUAUAACAUAUUCUGUGUCCGAAGGGACUAAAAGCCUUCAGCUUCUCAGCUGUCCACAUCACAUUCCUGAGCCAUGUUGGCUUGCUGCAAGCAGACUGUUCAUAAAAGAACUACAGAUGCAACUCUAUGUUAGAACUCGUGCUGUGGGCUUCAGUCUUUGGAACAUAGGUUUUCAUGUACAUAUUGUAAAUAAAACAGUCCCAUAAUUUUCUAAA